UACGUAGGGGGCUAGCGUUGCUCGGAAUCACUGGGCGUAAAGGGUGCGUAGGCGGUUUUUUAAGUCCGGGGUGAAAUCCUGGAGCUCAACUCCAGAACUGCCUUUGAUACUGAAGAUCUUGAGUUCGGGAGAGGUGAGUGGAACUGCGAGUGUAGAGGUGAAAUUCGUAGAUAUUCGCAAGAACACCAGUGGCGAAGGCGGCUCACUGGCCCGAUACUGACGCUGAGGCACGAAAGCGUGGGGAGCAAACAGG
rnacentral:rRNA from 1 species